rnacentral:rRNA from 1 species
UUGGAGGGCAAGUCUGGUGCCAGCAGCCGCGGUAAUUCCAGCUCCAAUAGCGUAUAUUAAAGUUGUUGCAGUUAAAAAGCUCGUAGUUGAAUUUCGGGAUCAAUAUGCCGGUCAUGCCUUGGUAUGCACUGGUAUCUUUGAUUUCUCCCUUCCGACGAACUUUGAUGUCAUUAAUUUGGUGUCAUAGGGAAUCAGGACUGUUACUUUGAAAAAAUUAGAGUGUUUAAAGCAAGCUCACGCUUGAAUACAUUAGCAUGGAAUAAUGAAAUAGGACGUUUGAUUCUAUUUUGUUGGUUUCUAGGAUCGACGUAAUGAUUAAUAGGGAUAGUUGGGGGCAUUAGUAUUCAAUUGUCAGAGGUGAAAUUCUUGGAUUUAUUGAAGACUAACUACUGCGAAAGCAUUUGCCAAGGAUGUUUUCAUUAAUCAAGAACGAAAGUUAGGGGAUCGAAGACGAUCAGAUACCGUCGUAGUCUUAACCAUAAACUAUGCCGACUAGGGAUCGGAUGAUGUUAAUUUUUUAAUGACUCAUUCGGCGCCUUACGGGAAAC